rnacentral:lncRNA from 1 species
UUUGUUUUGUUUCUAUGGAGCUGAGGAUAGAACCCAGAACCUCAUGCAGGAAAGCGUUCUAUCACUGAGCUGCAUCUCCAGCCCCAUAUUUUGCCCAUAUAGACAGCCCUGCAGUGAUACAUUUUGCCUCUGGAUGGGACUAUACUUUGAAUCUGGAUUGUCAGAUAAACUGCUGAAAGCAGAAUUGCUGGAUGAAAGAGAUGUCCCACAGAACACGCUGAAUCAGCCCGCUGCAGACAGGCAGGUCUGCCCAUGCCCUACUGAGGUCCCGAGUCACGUGGAAGAAGCCAAAUCACCCUGCUGCAGACAGGCAGACACCUGGUUCCACACUACAAAGACGCAGAGGACACCAGACCACCAGAACAAGACUGAGGAAAUCAAAUCAAGAGUAUGCUGUUUCAGAAAUAUUCAACUGCCAGUUUUUACAAAGUCCUGUUCCAGAUCCUUCCAAGCCAUCACCUAACAACCUCCAGCCAUUGCCCUAAAAGCAUAGUCACCUUAAAUGCCAGCAAAACAUCUUCGGACAGAUCACCCCAUGAUGAGAUCACCCCUCUACAUGGAACAAUUACCGAGACAGAAACUGAGGCUCUCCUGGAACAGAAAAUACCAUUUUGUGGGAGCCACAUUAUUCCCUCCAAUGAUAAGAACUGCUCCUGAGCCACCUUGCAAAGCCAGAUCAGAGAUGAUGAUCUACCAGAUCCUAGCCCACACUGGCAACUCCAUAAAAGCUGGCCCAUUCCCUUUGUAAAUGGCCAGUCUAAUUUUCUCCACCAGUGCUCUGACUCCUUCAGCUCUUCUGCUCUCAAGCUGAAGUAUCAUUCCCAUCUUCUCUUCCAUUUCUAUUAAAACUUUUGGUUGUGAGUUUGUGCCCUUGAAUUUCUAUUACCAUUGAGAUAAAAAGUUUCCUCAUGUCCACUGUCCAUUUGUUCUCAGGAUAAACUCUGGCCCUGAAUGAUUUCAGAUGAUCUACUGAUGAUGAUUUUAUGAAAAAGACCUCUUUUCUCUGGUUCUAACUUCCAAGGAGGUCUCUAGAAUCCAAUAAACAUGUUUCUAACAAAAGAGUUCAAACACUGCCACAUUUCAGACUUAAAGCCCCUUUAUGCUAUGGAUGCAUAAAGAAAUCUUCUGAUUCAAACUAGGAAGCAUUUAUGCAUCCCUGUGUCAAGAACUGUGAAUUAGUAUUAUGAGGAAGAGAAAAGCAGACUUCUUGCAUGCAGUGGAAUUUUGCUAAUUGCUUAUGUCCUGUAACUGUCCUUCAAGUAUGUCAAGAUCGUAAAUAUGUCAUUUUCCUGAGUAUGGAGGUGCAAGCAGGGAAAAGCAGAUAAUAAACAAAUAAAAUGUAUCAGGUGAUGUCAAAUACUUAGUUACUUUCUCAUUGCUGGGACAAAAUACCUGACACCUACAAUUUAAGGAAGGAGAGGUUUA